rnacentral:rRNA from 1 species
UACGUAGGGUGCAAGCGUUUGUCCGGAAUUAUUGGGCGUAAAGAGCUCGUAGGCGGUCUGUCGCGUCGGCUGUGAAAUCCCGGAGCUCAACUCCGGGUCUGCAGUCGAUACGGGCAAACUGGAGUACUGCAGGGGAGACUGGAAUUCCUGGUGUAGCGGUGAAAUGCGCAGAUAUCAGGAGGAACACCGGUGGCGGAGGCGGGUCUCUGGGCAGUAACUGAGCUGAGGAGCGAAAGCGUGGGGAGCGAACAGG